CUAUGCGCCUUGCCAGCCCGCUCAGUCAGAGUUUGAUCCUGGCUCAGAUUGAACGCUGGCGGCAUGCCUUACACAUGCAAGUCGAACGGCAGCACGGGGGCAACCCUGGUGGCGAGUGGCGAACGGGUGAGUAACAUAUCGGAACGUGCCCUGGAGUGGGGGAUAACUAGUCGAAAGACUAGCUAAUACCGCAUACGAUCUACGGAUGAAAGUGGGGGAUCGCAAGACCUCAUGCUCGUGGAGCGGCCGAUAUCUGAUUAGCUAGUUGGUGGGGUAAAGGCCUACCAAGGCAUCGAUCAGUAGCUGGUCUGAGAGGACGACCAGCCACACUGGGGACUGAGACACGGCCCAG
rnacentral:rRNA from 1 species